UACACAAGUACACCACAAUUUCCGCCUCACUGACGAAUAACUUGGGGCAUGUUCUUCUUGACUGCUCGGAGCCCCCAUUUCUUUAUCUGUAAAAAGGAAAUAAAUUACAUAGCUGUGAGUUAUUGGAUGACAUCAUAAAACCCAGCACAGAGGGCUGGACGCGGUGGCUCACGCCUGUAAUCCCAGCACUUUGGGAGGCCACGGUGGGCGUAUCACGAGGUCAC
rnacentral:lncRNA from 10 species